UUGGUAAGGUAAAGGCUUACCAAGGCGACGAUCAGUAGCUGAACUGAGAGGUUGAUCGGCCACAUUGGGACUGAGACACGGCCCAGACUCCUACGGGAGGCAGCAGUGGGGAAUAUUGCGCAAUGGGGGAAACCCUGACGCAGCAACGCCGCGUGAAGGAUGAAGGCUUUCGGGUCGUAAACUUUUGUCUUUGGGGAGGAAUAAAUGACGGUACCCAAGGAGGAAGCCACGGCUAACUACGUGCCUGCAGCCGCGGUAAUACGUAGGUGGCGAGCGUUGUCCGGAUUUACUGGGUGUAAAGGGCGUGUAGGCGGGUAUGCAAGUCAGAUGUGAAAUACCGGGGCUUAACCCCGGGGCUGCAUUUGAAACUGUGUAUCUUGAGUGCAGGAGAGGAAAGUGGAAUUCCUAGUGUAGCGGUGAAAUGCGUAGAUAUUAGGAGGAACACCAGUGGCGAAGGCGACUUUCUGGACUGUAACUGACGCUGAGGCGCGAAAGCGUGGGUAGCGAACAGGAUUAGAUACCCUGGUAGUCCACGCCGUAAACGAUGGAUACUAGGUGUAGGAGGUAUCGACCCCUUCUGU
rnacentral:rRNA from 1 species